rnacentral:rRNA from 1 species
CCUACGGGUGGCAGCAGUGAGGAAUAUUGGUCAAUGGACGAGAGUCUGAACCAGCCAAGUAGCGUGAAGGAUGACUGCCCUAUGGGUUGUAAACUUCUUUUAUAUGGGAAUAAAAUGUUCCACGUGUGGGAUUUUGUAUGUACCAUAUGAAUAAGGAUCGGCUAACUCCGUGCCAGCAGCCGCGGUGAUACGGAGGAUCCGAGCGUUAUCCGGAUUUAUUGGGUUUAAAGGGAGCGUAGGUGGAUGGUUAAGUCAGUUGUGAAAGUUUGCGGCGCAACCGUAAAAGUGCAGUUGAAACUGGCAGUCUUGAGUACAGUAGAGGUGGGCGGAAUUCGUGGUGUAGCGGUGAAAUGCUUAGAUAUCACGAAGAACUCCGAGUGCGAAGGCAGUUCACUGGACUGCAACUGACACUGAGGCUCGAAAGUGUGGGUAUCAAACAGGAUUAGAUACCCUGGUAGUC